ensembl:lncRNA
AUUUUUUAGUUUAUUUUGCUUUAUUAAUUUAACAAAAUGAACAAAAUUUUAAAGCUUUUAAUAAUUUUACUUUAGCCUUUAAUUUUUUUUAUACAUUUUAAUUUAUUUUACAUGUUUUAUUUCACAUUAUAUAUAUAUAUAUAAAUUUUUUUUUUAGUUGAGAGUCCAGGACGUCCUGCUGUAGGAUUUUAACAUCUCUGCUCCACUCAAACACCGGGUCACUUUGAUGUAGGUCAUGAGAUUCACUUCAGAUGUUUGCCAGACUGCAUUUAUAACCAUGAGAUCGCAUAAACAGCUGGACGUGUAUGUUUAAUUUAUAUCAGCCUGACAGGAAGCACACGGGACAAUUACUCCUGAUAACACACACACACAGAGCAUGGAUGGUUAGUAGGAUAAAUGAGCUGUCUGUGUGUGUCUUUUGUGGUGGAAAUAGUGAGGUAAAUUUCCCCCGUUUGAUUCAGGUUAAAGGAUACAGUCUCUGCUGCUAAGAUAAGAAUUGAAAUCCUGUUUUGCUUCAUAUCAACUCGCUAAACCAAAUGGGAACUCGCUGUGAUUUAUUACUGCAGUGUUUUUCAACCUUGACUCAUAAAGUGUUUGUCGCAGCCCGUCCCGUCUCAUUUCUUUUUAGCUUAGCAGGAAAACAUGCUAACAGUCCCAAAGCAAUGUUUCAAAGCAGCCUGGGCUCCGUGUCUCCUGACAGUAAUUUUCUAAAAGUGGAAGCGGAUCUCCAUUCCCAGCCCUUCUCAGGAAAAAUCAUCAGUUGAGCCAGAGAUCAUGCUGCUGUCAGGAACCACGAGUCCUCCAGAUGAACCUGAGGUCAAACUGACACAAGAUCAGCAGAACAACCGGACAGCUCUAAUUCUACAGCCGAUAUCACACCGAUGCUGUCAGCGCAGCGACACGUUUAGGGGAAAUGACCGCGGCGAAGCUCUCUCGCUGGGAUUCUUCUCUUCCCCUGCCACAACAAUUGGUGUUUAGGAAGAGAGGAUCGGGUUCUCCGUCCGUGCUCGGCAUGACGGUCAUCUUCAGGAGUGAACGUCUGAGAGGAACCAUUGAUUGUCCAGAUGACAGAUGCUACGUGUCACACGGACUGAACUGCUUCCUGUUACAGCAGAGUGUGUGUGUGUUUGGAGUGGGACGAUUGAGCUGGGAACACUGUUCAGAUGUAUCCUAUUCUUCUGUAAUGCAAUCCUUAUGUGUUUACUGAAAUGAACUACAGUUUACUGAUGUGUAGGGCUCAAAAAUAGAUAGACAAACACAGAUGAACACAACAUACUGAAAGAUCAGAACAACAAUGAAAAAAGUACAUACUG